rnacentral:rRNA from 1 species
UACGGAGGGGGCUAGCGUUGUUCGGAAUUACUGGGCGUAAAGCGCACGUAGGCGGCUUUGCAAGUCAGAGGUGAAAGCCCGGGGCUCAACCCCGGAAUUGCCUUUGAGACUGCAUCGCUAGAAUUGUGGAGAGGUAAGUGGAAUUCCGAGUGUAGAGGUGAAAUUCGUAGAUAUUCGCAAGAACACCGGUGGCGAAGGCGGCCAACUGGACCAUUACUGACGCUGAGGCGCGAAAGCGUGGGGAGCAAACAGG